CCUACGGGAGGCAGCAGUGGGGAAUAUUGCGCAAUGGGCGAAAGUCUGACGCAGCGACGCCGCGUGAGGGAUGAAGGUCUUCGGAUCGUAAACCUCUGUCAGCAGGGAAGAACGGUCACUGUGCUAAUCAGCAGUGAAUUGACGGUACCUGCAAAGGAAGCACCGGCUAACUCCGUGCCAGCAGCCGCGGUAAUACGGAGGGUGCGAGGGUUAAUCGGAUUUAUUGGGUUAAAGGGGUGCGUAGGCGGAUUUUAAAGUCAGCGGUAAAAUGUCCGGGCGCAACCCGGGCCGGCCGUUGAAACUGGGGAUCUUGAGGGGGCUAGAGGUAUGCGGAAUGCGUGGUGUAGCGGUGAAAUGCAUAGAUAUCACGAAGAACUCCGAUUGCGAAGGCAGCAUACCGGCGCCCGACUGACGCUGAGGCACGAAAGCGUGGGGAUCGAACAGGAUUAGAUACCCCUGUAGUC
rnacentral:rRNA from 1 species